rnacentral:piRNA from 1 species
UCUAUCUGUCGGCAAUGCAGUGGUGAGA